rnacentral:rRNA from 1 species
GACGAACGCUGGCGGCGUGCUUAACACAUGCAAGUCGAACGGUAAGGCCCUUCGGGGUACACGAGUGGCGAACGGGUGAGUAACACGUGGGUGAUCUGCCCUGCACUUCGGGAUAAGCCUGGGAAACUGGGUCUAAUACCGGAUAGGGCCACUGCCUGCAUGGGUGGUGGUGGAAAGCUUUUGCGGUGUGGGAUGGGCCCGCGGCCUAUCAGCUUGUUGGUGGGGUGAUGGCCUACCAAGGCGACGACGGGGAGCCGGCCUGAGAGGGUGACCGGCCACACUGGGACUGAGAUGCGGCCCAGACUCCUACGGGAGGCAGCAGUGGGGAAUAUUGCACAAUGGGCGCAAGCCUGAUGCAGCGACGCCGCGUGAGGGAUGACGGCCUUCGGGUUGUAAACCUCUUUCAGCACCGACGAAGCGCAAGUGACGGUAGGUGCAGAAGAAGGACCGGCCAACUACGUGCCAGCCGCCGCGGUAAAAC